ensembl:lncRNA
UAUGGACCAGAACAGGGUCAUAUAGCCAACAGCUCUGAGAGGAGGGUACAUGAUGAGGUUAUGGACCAGAACAGGGUCAUAUAGCCAACAGCUCUGAGAGGAGGGUACAUGAUGAGGUUAUGGACCAGAACAGGGUCAUAUAGCCAACAGCUCUGAGAGGAGGGUACAUGAGGUUAUGGACCAGAACAGGGUCAUAUAGCCAACAGCUCUGAGAGGAGGGUACAUGAUGAGGUUAUAGACCAGAACAGGGUCAUAUAGCCAACAGCUCUGAGAGGAGGGUACAUGAUGAGGUUAUGGACCAGAACAGGGUCAUAUAGCCAACUGUUCUGAGAGGAGGGUACAUGAUGAGGUUAUGGACCAGAACAGGGUCAUACAGCCAACAGCUCUCAGAUACAGAGAGGAGGGUAUCAGAACAGGAUCAUAUUUGUUAAUUAAACUGUAGAGAGCUGUUAUCAUCAUCACUACAAUAGUCUCUACUACCGGGGAUUUAAGAAAAGAAACUAUUAAAACAGACAUGAAAUGCAGACAGUAAAAAUAUACUUUAAUGUGUUGAUUUGGUCAAACAACGCUGAUGAGUGUCAAGGAGGUGAGGUGUACAGUCACUAGUUGUGUGUGUGUGUCCUCACUGAGGAGGAUAGGGGCCAGUGGGCGGUGGGGGAGGAGGGGGAGGUGAGAGAAGGGGAGGUUGUGGUAGGAGUGAGAGGGGGAGGGGACCAGGGGAAGGACAUGUGGGGGGGAGGAGGGGGAGGAUAGAGGGGGAAGGACUGGGGCUGGUAGGGGGGAGGGUAGGGGUAGUGGGGCUGGUGUGUGUAGUACGGAGCCCCUUCGUAUCGGGGUGGGGGACCCCAGUUGUCACGGCGGGGUGGACGACUCUGUUGCAAAGGCCUCUGGGACAUCUGUGGUCUGGUGACGGAAUCUCUAUCUGGAAGAGAAAGAAAAUUAGGUCACACACACACACGGGUUAAAGGUCAAAUGAUAUACAGCCAACAACCAUCACAAUCUGAACCAACUGAUCACUAACCCCCCACCCCACACCUAGCCAUUUAGGCAGAAUGGUGGUCCCAACGCCUGUCUAUUCACUAUGUACUGAUUUUUCAUCACUGUGCUGCUCUCUCUCCUCCUCAUCAUUCUUCAAAGUGCUUUUCUCCUCAAAUAUUUGUUCAGAACAUUAACACAAUUAAUGUAUUUAUUGCACAAAUUUUUUUAUCUUAAAUCCAUCUAUGACAGCUUAAAUCCAUCUAUGACAGCUUAAAUCCAUCUAUGACAGCUUAAAUCCAUCUAUGACAGGGUUAGGUCUAAUCAAGGGGAAUCACUUGAAAUGUCCCCAUUUGUAUUUCUUACAACACGCAGGGUGAACCAGCCCAAUACCCAGUCUAAUAACUGAAUAGGGGAGACUGGGGCAGGGGGUUCCACAUGUUGGUGUCUCUCCCAAUCUACAGAGUGCUGUACAGCCCAAUACCCAGUCUAAUAACUGAACAGGGGAGACUGGGGCAGGGGGUUCCACAUGUUGGUGUCUCUCCCAAUCUACAGAGUGCUGUACAGCCCAAUACCCAGUCUAAUAACUGAACAGGG